rnacentral:rRNA from 1 species
UUGACCUCGGAUCAGGUAGGACUACCCGCUGAACUUAAGCAUAUCAAU